GACGAACGCUGGCGGCGUGCUUAACACAUGCAAGUCGAACGAAGUGGCGAACGGGUGAGUAACGCGUAAUCAACCUGCCCUUCAGAGGGGGACAACAGUUGGAAACGACUGCUAAUACCGCAUACUGAAGGAGGGGAUUGCGUCUGAUUAGCUAGUUGGAGGGGUAACGGCCCACCAAGGCGAUGAUCAGUAGCUGGGCUGGGGUGGUGGACGGCCAAAUUGGGACUGAGACACGGCCCAGGCUCCUACGGGGGGCAGCAGUGGGGAAUCAUCCGCAAUGGACGAAAGUCUGGCGGAGCAACGCCGCGUGAAUGAUGACGGCCUUCGGGUUGUAAAGCUCUGUUAAUCGGGACGCGGUACCGGAAUAGAAAGCCACGGCUAACUACGUGCCAGCCGCCGCGGUAAUAC
rnacentral:rRNA from 1 species